ensembl:scaRNA
CCCCUGGGUCUCCGCUGCGGCCCCGGGCUGAGCCCUCAGUAUUUUCCUUAUAUGAUCAGGCUCCAUUACGGGCAGCGCUGCUUGCCUAGAGCCUGAGAGGAUUAUGAAAACGUGGCUGGUGAAUAGGGGCCAGGGGACCCGGCG